GAUGAAGAACGCAGCGAAUUGCGAUAUGUAAUGUGAAUUGCAGAAUUCAGUGAAUCAUCGAAUCUUUGAACGCAUAUUGCACCCUCUGGUAUUCUGGAGGGUAUGCCUGUUUGAGUGUCAUUUCACCACUCAAGCCUCGCUUGGUAUUGGGCAACGCGGUCCGCCGCGUGCCUCAAAUCGACCGGCUGGGUCUUCUGUCCCCUAAGCGUUGUGGAAACUAUUCGCUAAAGGGUGUUCGGGAGGCUACGCCGUAAAACAACCCCAUUUCUAAGGUUGACCUCGGAUCAGGUAGGGAUACCCGCUGAACUUAAGCAUAUCAAUAAGCGGAGGA
rnacentral:misc_RNA from 1 species